rnacentral:rRNA from 1 species
UACGUAGGGGGCGAGCGUUGUCCGGAGUUACUGGGCGUAAAGGGCUCGUAGGCGGCCAACUAAGUCAGACGUGAAAUCCCUCGGCUUAACCGGGGAACUGCGUCUGAUACUGGAUGGCUCGAGUUUGGGAGAGGGAUGCGGAAUUCCAGGUGUAGCGGUGAAAUGCGUAGAUAUCUGGAGGAACACCGGUGGCGAAGGCGGCAUCCUGGACCAACACUGACGCUGAUGAGCGAAAGCCAGGGGAGCAAACGGG